AACUCUGAGGACUGCAGGGUGGAGGGGGUGAGGAAGCCAUAAGAUGGAGGGAUCCUAAGCCCCUGAGUCACAAGUUGGAGAAGAGCUGUGCAGAAGAGCCUCAUGAACAGGAACAGCCAUGUUGGACUGUGCAUCUAGCAAAACACAUGGAACAUUGUAAGAGCUCAACAAAUUGGUAGUAGGAGACAAGAGAGUGUGUAUCUGAAAGAGAAGAAACAAGGUGUCCCUUCUGUGAGGGCACUCACUCUCCAAAGAAAAACACGUAUUACAAGGUGCCCUCUGGAUUGGAGAGAGGAAAUACCCAGUCUCAAGGCUUUUAUCCAAGAAGAGCAGGAACCUUUGAUCUUGUCUGGAGCCCAAAGGAUCUAAGGAUGGAGUGAAGACAGACAAGAGUCUGGCAAAGUCUCGACUGGGUGCGCUUAUUCAAAGCAUGUCUGGGAUGAAGUCUCUCCAGUACUGGAUUUGCCAGACCACUCCAGCCUAGGGCCAGGGCAAGCAGGAUUUCAGAACGGUUGCCUGUUUAUUCUACCAUGUUGUGUUCAGGGAGUGACCAGCCAACUGGUCUAUUUGCCCAAAGAGAUUCAACCCAACCACAGCCACCCUCCUCCAGGCGCUUUGGCUGCUCCCUUAAGAACCUCCCUUCCUUGCCUGCUGGGUGGAACUGGUCCUGACUGCUUUUAUUUUUCCAAACUCCUCUGUGCAUAAACAGGAUGUUUGGAAAAGCUCAAGAUGGCCAGGGGUCUGCUGAGUUGGCCCUUGAUUCUCACUUGGAGGGCAGUGUUGGGCAACAUCAGUGGAAUUGCUUCUGCCUGGAUGUUGCCCAGAAUAGCUAAAUCCUCUCCUCCCCCCAACCUUCUCACUCCCUCUCUUUUUCUCUCCCUUAGAGAACUUGGCUACAGGGAGUUCACACUGGUAGGAAUGAGGUAGAAGAGUUGCCUUCACUUUCUAAGGGUGUUUCCUAUGAGGGUAUUAAGAAAUAUCCCUGCUCCCAAAGGGUGCAAGGAAGAAAAGUGAAGCCAGUAGGUGGGAAACUUACUCCCUUUACAGAGCUCUUCUCAAGACCCUAAGGGCUAGGGUAGGACCCUAAAGAAAAAUCCGCCAUAGAAAACAGCCUACCCAUGAUUAAAGGUCCAGUGGACAAAGUGUUUAUGAGUAAAGACCCCUUACUCACCCCUCCUGACUGAACAAAAGAUACACAAGAUCAAGUUAACCCACUGGAACUAAGUUAAUCCUAGGUGCAAACGUCUUAACAUCUGAGCAUGGGUAGAGGCAAGGAAAACUGCAGGCAGAGAGAGAAAGCCAAAGCCUUCUGGCAGGGAGGGGAAUAAGAACAGAGGCAAAUGCAGAUAGAGGCCUUUUCUCAGGGUGCUCUCACAGCCUCCCUGCCUGACCAAUUCCCAGGCUUAGCUAUCAGUGUUUUUACACCGAGCCACUACUUGCCAUUGCCAGAGUUCCCUGAGAGCUACCCAGCACCAUGCAGCCUCCUGCCCCAGCUACUGGGGACAAACAUAGUCCUCUGCCAACCCCUGCUCCUUUCACCACCCUGCAGGAUAUGCUGCCCUGAUGACCCCAUCCUAAGACAUGCAGGUACCACUGUUGGUACCCACACAAGCACACCUCCAGCCACAACAUUCCCGCAGCAUCCUUCAUCACCCAAACUGGCUCUGCAGUCACCACCCUUGUUGCUAUUGAACCAAUGCUUUUCUGCCCCCUUAAUCUAUGUCCCCUGUUCCUUGAGUCUUGUUGGACAAUUCAGGAGUCAAGAGUUCCAGCUGUAGCUGAGAUUUUGCAGCCAACCACACAGCACAUGUGCACACAGACAUGAGAAGAAAAGACUCCUGGGAAAGUUGAUUUUGUGGAAGACACUUAAAAACACUUGGCAAAUUUUCAA